AUUUUAUGGAAAGCCACAGGGGACCCCCAAGUCAUGUUCUAUAUAUUCAUAGUAAUUCAAUCUUGGGCGGUCAUGUUUACCAUCCCGGCCAAGUCAUGAUCGGCCACACGGGACCCCCAAGUCAUGUUCUAUAUAUUCAUAGUAAAUCAAUCUUGGGCGGUCAUGUUCUAUAUAUUCAUAGUAAUUCAAUCUUGGGCGGUCAUGUUCUAUAUAUUCAUAGUAAUUCAAUCUUGGGCGGUCAUGUUCUAUAUAUUCAUAGUAAUUCAAUCUUGGGCGGUCAUGUUCUAUAUAUUCAUAGUAAUUCAAUCUAGGGUGGUCAUGUUCUAUAUAUUCAUAGUAAUUCAAUCUUGGGCGGUCAUGUUCUAUAUAUUCAUAGUAAUUCAAUCUUGGGUGGUCAUGUUCUAUAUAUUCAUAGAAAUUCAAUCUUGGGCAGUCGUGUUUACAAUCCCGGCUAAGUCAUGAUCGGCCACACGGGACCCCCAAAUCAUGUUCUAUAUAUUCAUAGUAAUUUCAAUCGGUCAUGUUAUGAUUGCAAAUCUGACCAAGUCAGGUUUGGUUUGAUAGCAUAACAUGGCCUUCUUAUCUUUGCCGGUCAUGAUUUGACAACCCUUGCCUAGUCAAGAUAUAUCCCAUGUUUUACAUCUUGACUAGGCCAUGAUUUUCUAUCCCAAGAUUGCAUUGGCCAAGAUACAUUACUUCCAAACGCAGUCAAGAUUUACUUCCCAAGAUUUUAUAGGACCGAGAUUCGGCCAAGAUAGCAUUGCGCCUAGAUACAUUACUUCCAAACGAAGUCAAGAUUCGCUUCCCAAGAUUUCAAAAGACAAAGACUAAUUUCCCAAGAUUUCAAAAGAUCAGGAUUUACUUCCCAAGACGAAAAUCCGCUAAAAACUCCCAGCUAACAGUGACAAAAUAACUACUAGGUUGCAGUGACUUAGGUUGUACUUCAUCAACAACAAAACUCCAGAUCCAUGGCGUAUAUACAAUAUACAAUUCAUACAAUUUUAAGAUUGGUUAUAGAUCUACAGUAUCUCAGAUCGACACAUGCUGACUGGAGAGCGCUAUAAUCGGACCCCGGACUGUGGCUUGAGACGAUGACUGGAGUCUAUGGCUAUAGGAACCAUUUUGCAGUAAUUAAGAAUGUGCAGGAGAAAGUGGUACACUUCAUUUCAAUCGCAUCCUUCGACAAGUGAAAAUCCAUGGUCUACCUGGAAUAAGUUUAUUUGGCGCCAAGACAACCUUUUUCCAAGGUCAGAGAUCAGGGGCCAGAACUGAUGUCAGUUGAAAAGACACCACAUUGGGUCAAAGAUCAAAGGCCAGAAUUGGUGUCAGCUGGAAAGAUACCACAUUGUGUAUUGGAUUUGCAAGAUAUUUAAUCAAUGCACCAGUUUCAAGUUCAAAGUAUCAUCAAGGCCUACUUCAUGAAAUGCUGAAUAUGUCAUCAACCUUCAGUUAUACCAAAAGCUGAAUCCAGAUGAGGACAGUCUUAAUGGGUCAUACAGAAAAGGACUCAACAGGAAUAGUUAUUGAAUUUCAAGUUUAGAGAUUUUUGCAGUAAAUGAAGCCUUUACCAGUUGCAGAAGCUUAGGCUAUCCUUUGAGAGGGUGUUUGGCCUACAGAGAUAUUGACAAUUAAUUUUAAAAAAAGAAAACCUUUAUUGAUUUUUUCCCAAAAAUUCAGCUCAGAUGAGCUGUUAAGCUCAAGAGAAUUUUUAGCUCACCUGAGCUGAAAGGUCCUAAGACCAUAAACUUAGAGCAAACUUAAAAUUUCAAAGGGAUAUAAUUAGUUCUACUUGUCAGAGACCAUAAGAGAUUAUGCGAUAUUAAGGCAUCAGUUGUCCGUCUGUCUAGUUGUCCACCUGUACGAAACAGUUUUUAGCUCACCUGAGCCGAAGGCUCAAGUGAACUAUUCUGAUCAAAAUUUGUCCGUCGUCUGUCGUUGUUGUUGUCGUUGUCAUAAACUUUUCACAUUUUUAUCUUCUUCUCAAGAACCACUGGGCCAAUUUCAACCAAACUUGCCACAAAGUAUCCUUGGGUGAAGGGAAUUCAAGUUUGUUCAAAUGAAGGGCCAAGCCCUCUUCAAAGAGGAAAUAAUUAUGAAUUAGUGAAAAAUUAUUGGCAUUUUAAAAAAAUCUUCUUCUCAAGAACCACUGGGCCAGGAAAGAUGAAACUCAUGUGGAAUCAUCCUCAGGUAGUGUAGAUUCAAGUUUCUUCAAAGCAUGACCCCCGGGGAUAGGGUCGGGCAACAAUGGCCGACCAAAAUUUUACAAAGGAAUAUAUAAAAUCAUUAAAAAUCUUCUUCUCAAGAAUAACAAAGCCAUGAAUGGUCAUAUUCAUAUGGAAGCAUCUUCAGGUAGUGUAUAUGCAAGUUUGUUCAAAUCAUGACCCCGGGGGGUAGGGUGGGGCCAAUAUGUCCGACCAAAGUUUUACAUAGGAAUAUAUAGGAAAAAUCUUUAAAAAUCUUCUUCUGAAGAACCACUGGGCGAGGAAAGAUGUAACUCAUGUGGAAUCAUCCUCAGGUAGUGUAGAUUCAAGUUUGUUCAAAUCAUGACCCCCAGGGGCAGGGUGGGACCAAAAUGGCCAAUCAAAGUUUUACAUAGGAAUAUAUAAGAAAAAUCUUUAAAAAUCUUCUUCUCAAGAACCACUGGGCCAGGAAAGAAGAAACUUAUGUGGAAUCAUCCUCAGGUAUUGUAGAUUCAAGUUUGUUCAAAUCAUGACCCCGGGGUAGGGUGGGGCCAAAAUGGCCGACAAAAGUUUUACAUAGGAAUAUAUAGGGAAACCUUUUAAAAUUUUCUUUUCAAGUACAACAAAGCCAUGAUUAGUAAUAUUUAUAUGAAAUCAUAAUGGUAGUGCAGAAUCUAGUUUGUUCAAAUCAUGAUCCCCUGGGGGGAGGGGGGAUGGUAAAAUUCAAGCUCCCCCCCCCUCCCAACCUCAGUAAACUUUCAGUUCUGAUCUGAUAUGUGCUUUUUCAAAGUUGAUGUGCUCAGGUGAGCACUGUGGCCCCUGGGCCUCUUGUUCAAAAUGCCACUCCUCCUACAGUUUUAAUCUGAUUUCAAUUUAACUUGGAACACAGGUAGGCUAUACUAAGAUACAUAGUUUAGUGCAUCAGUUUUUCUUUUCAGUGAACAGUGCUGCCAAGGUAAUACUAAAAAAAAUUUCUGUGAAAUUUUCUUCAAAAUGCUACUCUUCCUACAAUUUUGGUCUGUUUUCACUUUUCAGUAUAACUUAGCACUUAAGUAGACUAAACCAAGAUACAUGAUUUAGUGCAUCAAUUUUUGAUUUCGAUGAACAGUGUUGCCAUGGUAACUAAAAAUCAAAUUUUCUGUGAAAUUCCUUUAAAAAGAACUCCUUCAAUUUUUGUUUGAUUUCAAUAUAAUUUGGCACACAAUAUGCACAAGUACACUAUACAAAGAUACAUAAUUCUAUUUAUUUUUGCCCUUUGAAAAGUCAAACCACCUAAGUGCCACUUUUCCUUUUAUACACAUACAGACCAGUAGAUCUACAGUCUUAUCAGAGACUUCUAGAUUUUGAAAAAAAUAUUUGAAAACAAAGCAAAAUUUUUACCAUAUGUAUAAAUUGGAAUAUUUAUACAAACCUGCACAUUUUUGAUAAUGAAUAUGUAAUAAAUGAAAAGUUAUUCAUGAGAUCAAAAUUGAAAUUUUGACUUAAGUCUGUAUUAGUCUCCAGGCAUAAAGUGAGCUUUUCUGAUCAUCUAUCUCUUGUUCGUUCGUCUCUCCAUUCCUCUGUAUGUAAAGUUUUCACAUUUUCAACUUCUUCGCAAAAGAUUCACUUUGCUAAUUUAAGAAAAUAUCCUUGUGUAAAAUGAAAUUAAAAUUCUUAAACUAAAGGGCCAAGUACCCUUGUAGGGAGAAAUUAUCAGAAAAAAAAAGACAAGAAUAGGGUUGGGUCAUAUAAAAACCUUCUUUUCAAGAACCACUAACCCAGAAAAGCUGAAACUUAUGUGAACGAACUCUUGUGAAAUCAUGAACCCUGGGAAAGGGGCAGGGCCACAAUGGGUAUACUCUGGUGUGGAAAUCUGAUAAAGAACAGCAUGCCCAAAGUACACAGAUGAGUGAUGUGGCCUUGGGCCUCGUGUUCUGAUUAAUAUCCAUUGUUAGUCU